UGGAGGACUGAGAAUGUUGAUCAGCUGAUCUCAUGCUGCUCCAACAGGUUACUCCUCCAAGAGUAAUUAACAAACCACACAGUCAAGUCUCUCUGACAUGUGCAGAGCUGAUGGGUGUGUUUG